AAACAAUCAGCGACCAAACAAGUAGCUGAGCAGAGAGAUGGCUGCUCCGGCUGCCGAGGGUCUGGCUGUGACGGCGCUGCGGUCGGUGCUCCACCGUGUCCGUCAGGCUGCUGAAAGGUCCGGUCGCCGUGCUGAUGACGUGAGAGUGUUGGCCGUUAGCAAGACGAAGCCUAUUUCUCUUAUUACCCAAGUGUAUGAAGCCGGUCACCGGUGUUUUGGUGAAAAUUAUGUUCAAGAGAUUAUCCAGAAGGCUCCUGAGCUUCCUGAGGACAUAGAAUGGCAUUAUAUCGGGCAUCUGCAGAGCAAUAAAGCGAAGCAACUCUUAACUGCUGUUCCCAAUCUAGCCAUGGUUCACGGUGUUGAUAACCAGAAGCUUGCAAAUUAUCUUGAUCGUGCGGUUUCAAGCAUUGGCAGGCAGCCCUUGAAGGUUUUGGUUCAGGUUAAUACCAGCGGAGAAGAGUCAAAAUCUGGUGUUGAUCCAUCUAAUUGCAUAGAGCUUGCCAAACAUGUCAAGCUGGAUUGCCCAAACCUUGAGUUCUCUGGCCUAAUGACGAUUGGACGGCCUGACUACACUUCAACCCCAGAGAACUUCAAGACGCUACUGAAUUGUAGAACUGAAGUUUGCAAGGUGCUUGGUAUGGCGGAGUCUCGAUGUGAGUUGUCAAUGGGCAUGUCUAGUGACUUCGAGCUAGCGAUAGAAAUGGGCAGCACCAAUGUGAGAAUUGGAUCAACCAUAUUUGGACCUAGGGAGUAUCCAAAGAAGCAAUGAAAUCAGUAUGAACCUUCAUCUCAUCGAACCAUUCACGAAAGCAAUAGGGAGUGAUGAGGCCUUUCUGAAUUUAUGCACAAUCAGGGAGAAAAAUGAAGCAGCGAUGACUAGAGAAGGAUGCUAUUGCUUCAAAUCUUUUAUAUUUUUAGAACAGGACUAAGUGUCCCUUUACUCUUGCCUUGCCUUGAUUCACUUGGUCUUUUCUUUUCAGAAGCUUUGAUUCUUUUACCUAAUACAUAAAUUACCAUCCUUGAUAAAGAGAAUUAAGAUGGAGAAAAAUGAAGAUGUCACUGUAGUUACUUCAUUUUUUGUCCUUUUAUUUAUACUUCCUUUUGCC
rnacentral:misc_RNA from 1 species